CCGGGCUAGUUCAAUAAACAACCUGCGCUCCUUUCUGUGUUAAGUAUCCCAAGAUGCCUCUGUGUGUGUGUGGGGGGGGGGACCAACAAACAUGACACUCUUUUGUCAUGUUUGUUGGUCAUGGUCUCUGUAAAAUCAGUCACGCGGAAAUGGCAGCACCCCAAAAAAGCAAAUAAUUAAAAAACAACACAGAAAAUGAUUGAAAACAGAUCCUAAUUUUUACCACAAGCCUCUGGAAGUGGUUAAAACAGUUCCUUUAUUACCCACACACAUCCAAAUAAACCAAAUCUCAAACUCAUGUUACGCCUCUCAGACUGUAACAUGAGACGAGACGGACACGCCUCCUAACACGAGAGAGAGCUCACACCACACGCUGAAUAUCCUCCACUCUCUUUCUCUCAGCACUGAGAUCAUCCUUCCUGACCUAUGAUGUCGGGUGGUGCUCUCUCCGUCUUUUUUGCUCUCUGUGUGCUUUUAGAUGGCUGCUGUGGAAAACCGGCGAUUCUGGGAGAGUCUGUAGAGUUAUCAGCUGAUGUGAAGUGUGAAGCGCAGGAAUUCAGUCUGAUCUACCGGCUGAGGGAUGACAGUCCUCGGACUGUGGCCCAGCUGGUAAACGGUGUCUGGAUCCCGGGAGAGAGCUACAGAGAGCGGGUGGAGCACAGCUCCACGGGCAGCUUGUUGCUAACCCAUGUGAACUACAACGAUCAAGGCUACUACGAGUUCACCUGCGCCGCCGAGGUGACUUCUUCUGCUGUGUUAAUAAAGGCAGCAGAGAGAGCGGGAAGUGGAGAGAGAGGGGCAGCCCUGCAGCUGUGAGAGUGACUGUCAGUGAGAGGAGCACCAACAUCAGCAGCAUCUCUGCUCCCCCCACACGUGAAGCAGAGACACACACGGCAGCUUGUGUCACUCCCAUCAUCAUCACAGCCGGCAUAACCCUGCUGCUCUCUGCUGCUGCUGCUGCUGUGUGGUUGGUUUGGAGGAGGAAGUCCCGCAGAUCAGGAUCCACACCUGACGGCUCUGAUGGAGGACCUGCCAGUGACGUGGAGACGACACCUUUCACUGAGAGAGGCUCUGACAGAGGGACGUUCAUCGGAUAACUGAAGCCUGUGUGUGUGGUUUCUACACAAACACGACCUCUGCUGUGAUACUCUUUAUAAAAAAUGUUAUGGAUUUUUUUUGUAUCUUGCUCCUUGCUUUAGCCUCACUUCCUGUUCCUGUAGUUUAUAAGUUUUAUAAGAUGUAAAUAUCAGCUUUUCUGCCAAUAAAUAUCUGAGAUUUUAAUGUUUGAUCAUGUUUGUUUCAUGUUUUCGUGUCUUCCAGAGUGUCCCUUUGCCUUUUCUCCAGAAAUCUGGCAAUAUUAAAAUAAUAAAUGAAACAAAUAAAUAAAGUAGCUUAAAAAAACAAAACAAAACAAAAAAGUUAAAUGGAAAUGUGGAAAACUGAUUUAAGAAACAAACAGAAGUCAAGCUAAGAAUAAGAGAAAAGGCCAGACAACAGGUUGUUUGGUAUGACGUCGACAGAUCAAAGGGUGAAAGGUCAGAAAGUACAAAAAUAUCUCCCAGCAUGCCCCUCUGCCAUCAAAACGUCCCGUUAAUUGUUUUCACUUUAAACAAUGCUGUAAAUGAGUAAAUACAUUUCGAUAAUGAAUUUUAGCUCUGCAUGAAUGACGUUAAACUUCGGUAGUUUCACAACAAACAGUCGUGACUUAAACGUGUUAGUCCAACUUUCAUGUCAGCUUGGAAAUUUACAGCAAACAUGUGCAAACGUGCAUGUAGCUGCUGUGCUCUGCUGUUCUGUAUUACUUUUCGUCCCACGGUGAGUCACUCUGUCACUCUGAAAUGUAUUUGGGACUCAGCCAAAAAGUAACAACGGGGAAUACUGAAGCUGCUUGUGUUUAGUUUCUCGACACAGGCCACACCAUGACAUCGUGUGAAAUUUUAGACAGUUUACAUCACAGCCUCCCAUGAAAUCUGUCUGAAAGCGCUGAAUUUACCUAUCCCUGUAGUUUGUGUCAGAUUUCUGCAAAUGAAGAUUAAUCUGAAUUUUGAAGUUUGUUCGGUUUUUGUUUGUGACAAAGUGCUCUUGCCCCGCUAACCAAGCAGAGAUUUGUUUUUGUUGGCAUCCCAGUGUUGUAAGAAAUCUAUUUAUUUAUUUACUUACAUACAGUGGCGAACACUUGCUCUGCGUGAGACUGAGAUGACCAAAAAGCAACUCACCACACAGGAAAUCAUUCCUGCCCGUGGGCAUCUCCCUGUACAACACCUCCAUCUAACACACUGUGAACACUGCAAUAGUUACACCAUUUUUACACACGCUCUUUUCUAUUCUGGAAUAUUCUUGUCAAUUUUCUUGAUAUUUAUUUAUAAUCACCUCUGUUAAUCCUUGAUAUUUAUAAUUGAGUGAUCUGUAUAUAUUAGUGCUAUUUCUUAAAUGUGUAAAAUCUGUAACAUAAGGUGUUGUUUGGAGUUUAGUCUGUUACUGUUACUAUUUUUUACCAUUUCUUCUUGGAGCAACUGUAACCCACAUAAUUUCCUUAGGGAUUAAUAAAGUAUUCUGAUUCUGAUUGUUUCAGGAUGACCUGCCAUGAUCCAAUGACACAUCUGCUUACCUGUAUAUUUGGCUCAUUUCUCCUCCUCUUCUUUUCUCUUUUUUCUAAACUGAGCACCUGAUGACUUUGAACUUUUCUUGUCCAUCUUCCAUUGGUUUUAAUUUUGCACUCCAGUAUGAACACCCAUCCCCCAACUCGAGGAUCACCACAACAUAACCUAAUAGACCUACACCUUAGUUCACAGAUUGCGGUGUAUUUCUGGGAUUUCACACAACCCAGGAUUCAAAUCAUGAAUACAUAAUGGGCUUGGAUUUACAACAUUAUGAAUGAAAUGUGUUCUAUUUGGAAGCAGCCG
rnacentral:lncRNA from 1 species